rnacentral:sRNA from 1 species
GGUUAUUCAUAACCCUUUGUUGUCCGACUCUGUUGCCUCCGGGGCGACCCUGCCUUCGGGCGGGGGCUCCGGGUGGACACUUCAAACUCUUGCGUAACUUUGCAGUCUGAGUAAACUUAAUUAAUAAAUUAAAACUUUUAACAACGGAUCUCUUGGUUCUGGCAUCGAUGAAGAACGCAGCGAAAUGCGAUAAGUAAUGUGAAUUGCAGAAUUCAGUGAAUCAUCGAAUCUUUGAACGCACAUUGCGCCCCCUGGUAUUCCGGGGGGCAUGCCUGUUCGAGCGUCAUUUCACCACUCAAGCCUCGCUUGGUAUUGGGCAACGCGGUCCGCCGCGUGCCUCAAAUCGUCCGGCUGGGUCUUCUGUCCCCUAAGCGUUGUGGAAACUAUUCGCUAAAGGGUGUUCGGGAGGCUACGCCGUAAAACAACCCCAUUUCUAAGGUUGACCUCGGAUCAGGUAGGGAUACCCGCUGAACUUAAGCAUAUCAAUAAGCGGAGGAAAAGAAACCAACAGGGAUUGCUCUAGUAACGGCGAGUGAAGCAGCAAUAGCUCAAAUUUGAAAUCUGGCGUCUUCGACGUCCGAGUUGUAAUUUGUAGAGGAUGCUUCUGAGUGGCCACCGACCUAAGUUCCUUGGAACAGGACGUC